rnacentral:rRNA from 1 species
AUUGAACGCUGGCGGCAGGCCUAACACAUGCAAGUCGAACGGUAACAGGAAGAAGCUUGCUUCUUUGCUGACGAGUGGCGGACGGGUGCGGAAUGUCUGGGAAACUGCCUGAUGGAGGGGGAUAACUACUGGAAACGGUAGCUAAUACCGCAUAACGUCGCAAGACCAAAGAGGGGGACCUUCGGGCCUCUUGCCAUCGGAUGUGCCCAGAUGGGAUUAGCUAGUGGGUGGGGUAACGGCUCACCUAGGCGACGAUCCCUAGCUGGUCUGAGAGGAUGACCAGCCACACUGGAACUGAGACACGGUCCAGACUCCUACGGGAGGCAGCAGUGGGGAAUAUUGCACAAUGGGCGUAAGCCUGAUGCAGCCAUGCCGCGUGUAUGAAGAAGGCCUUCGGGUUGUAAAGUACUUUCAGCGGGGAGGAAGGGAGUAAAGUUAAUACCUUUGCUCAUUGACGUUACCCGCAGAAGAAGCACCGGCUAACUCCGUG